rnacentral:rRNA from 1 species
UACAGAGGGGGCGAGCGUUUGUUCGGAAUUACUGGGCGUAAAGGGCGCGUAGGCGCCUUCUAAGUCGAACGUGAAAUCCCCGGGCUCAACCCGGGAACUGCGUCCGAUACUGGAAGGCUUGAAUCCGGGAGAGGGAUGCGGAAUUCCAGGUGUAGCGGUGAAAUGCGUAGAUAUCUGGAGGAACACCGGUGGCGAAGGCGGCAUCCUGGACCGGCAUUGACGCUGAGGCGCGAAAGCCAGGGGAGCAA